ensembl:snoRNA LOC120093971 small nucleolar RNA SNORA48
UUCUCCUGGGCAAUGGGCAGAGACAAUUUGUUGGUGAUGUUGUUCUUCUAUCAGUCAGGGGCAGAGCAGAUGGCAGUCCUUUAUUCAUCCUAGCUUGAUGCUUGCUAGGUGGCCAAAUCUGUUUUAUGCCUAGGACACGUCA